CAUGAACAUGGGCGAGGCUGGGGCGGAGCCUGAGGCGGAGCUGUCCUUGCAAGUUAGUCCAUCCUCCUCCCCGCCCACGUGGUUGGAAAUGACAGUACCAGAAGAAGCAUUUCCGCAGUUCCCCUAGCUGGGCAAACCCAGAUAGCUCUGCAGAGUUCCAGUCAAGUGCCAAGGCUUGUUCUGAGCUCUGAGGACGCAGUGACUUCCACAGCAGACAAGAUCCCUGACUUCAAUCAGUUCUAAGCCUGACCAGGGAAAGAAAAUAUAGGACUUCACUGUAAUUGAGGAGCAGGCUCCAAGACUGCUGUAAACAAGUCUCUCAAGUCUUGAGGGAUAAUUCUAUUGUAAGUUGACAGUGAGUUUAACGUCUGCUUCAAAAUGGGACAGCUCACAUGGAAUCCAAAUGAUGAUGGAUGGAAUAAUCCAGUCCUUGGCCCAGUUUUGUUCCAGGAAAUGUCCUUUGAGCUCUUCAAACAGGGGAGCUGAAGGGCCCAGGGUUGAUCUGUCCUGCCCUUCAAAGUCAUCCUUGGACACACCUUGUGAAACCCCAGUAACACAGGAAUUUUAAGGAAGAGGAGACUCACAACUUACAGCUGCAGAGACUGAACUUCCAGUUGUAAGGUAUCACAUGACCCUCUACUCCUCGCUGCCCCUCAUCCUGGGCCUCCUCACCUCCUGGGCUUACAAGGUGUAUGGACUUCUUUACAUCUUCUCUAUGAGAAACAUCAAGAUGCGUGAAGGAGUGCUGAAGACCUCAAGUCAUGUGGAAAACCAAGUUGUAUGCUGGGGUUGCAGAAGAUGGAAUGCUGGCUCUUUAAAACAGGGUGGCUGUGGGGCUAUCUUCUCUUUCCAGCCAUCAUGCUCAGAUAACUAUGAGUUGAAGUUGUGGGAUCUAAAAGAGCCCACUGCAGGGAGAGGAGGGGUAGAGAGCUUGUGCCCAGGCUGCUGGAGGUGUCUGAUCCGCAACAUCGUGUUUGGGUUACACAGCUCUAUCGAGUUCUGGCCUGGCUCCCUCCUGUGGCUUGUGGGCCACACCAGGCCGAACAGAGUUCCAAGAUUUAGAAAUCGUGGUUCCAGACCUGUUCUUCAGACCUUGAAAGAGAAACAAGCAAAGGACUCUGUUAGUGACAUUGAAAUCAGCUGGACUUCACACAGAGCCACCCUGCUGUCCCAUAGCUCUCCAUGAGAUUCCUCUCCCCCUACCUAUUCCCAGACCUCAGGCCCAAUUCUCUUCUCUCCCCUUACACUUCCCCUGGUUGCAUCCUUUACUUCUCUGCUUCAGGUUCAACUUGCCCAGCAUCCACAUAAAGGGGUACAGUAGGAAACUCCUUCUAGGGUCAUAGAUAUCUUAGGGUUCAUGUCCUAUCCAUGGAUGCAGAAUAUCAAUGACAAAAGGCCUUGCAAUUCACAAAAGAAAUAACACUAGGGGAAGUCACUGGGCUUGCUUACGCGCUUUCCUUGGGACUCCAUUUCCCAUGCCUUGCUGUCCCUUACCUGGGGACUGUGUCUUCUGUCUUUGGGGUGAGGAGGCAACAGCAUAAACAGGAAACCAGGCGACUAAUCCGCCUUCUUACCCCUUUCCAGCCUUUUCUGUGCUUCUUCUUGGAGCCUGUGGCUUCCUCCUGGGGCUGGUCCUUGCUAGAGAUGGAUGGUGACUCUUCAACUGUUACUUUGUCGAGGUUUUAAUAUUCAGGGUUCUCAUUCCGAGGACAGACCAGGAUGUCAUUAGUCAUCUGUUCUCUCACUGUACUGUAAAUCACUUUCAUUCGGGUCUCUAGAUGUGCUGAUGUCAGUGGUGACCUUAGCAUCAUGCUGUGUUCCCGGCAUCCCUGUGUUGCAAGUGUCUUCCAGAAACCGCAGCUCAUCAAGGGAGGAGAGACUGAGCCUGAUGGUGCUGCCCGUAUCCUCACUCUCAGCCUCCUCAGUAUUAUGCUGCAUUUCUGGCAUCCAUGUGCUGCUGGUGUCUUCCAUGGAGCACAGUCCUUGGAGGGAUGUGAGACUGAACAUGUUGGUGCUGCCCGUCUCCUCACUCUCAGCCUCCUACGCAUCAUGGGGAGAUGAGUUAUAAGAAGUGCUGUCCUCAGGGCAGGAGAGGUAGUCCAUGGGUCACUGUCACCAGAUGAGGUAGUAGACUCUGUGUCCUCUGAGUUUUUAUUGUUGUUAUAGCCGGGCACAGGAGAAUACCAUAGGAUGGAAUUCUAAGUCCAGCUGAUAUCCAGUACCUUGGAUAAAUCUGGACAGCUGCAUCUAGACGACCUCUUGCUCUUUUUCACAUCAUUCAACUCUAGCCUUUUGUAUUCUUCAGAUGCCAUUUAUGUGGGCAAUUCAGGUUCACUCCCUGCCCACAUUAGGGUGGGAGUGAGAGUUGGAGGACCUGCAGAAUCGCUCUUUGGAACCGGCCAUACAUCCACAAGGAUGUUACUUUCACUUUUUCUCCUGUUGACAAUAUUGGUUUUUGCUAGGGCAACAUUGUGCCUAUUUGUUACUUGGGAUUCUAGGGUUUUAUCCAGCAGCUUGUAUAAAUCUGGAUAGCUGGACCUAGAGGACCUCUUGCUUUUCCUCACUUCAUUGAAUUCCUGCUUUUGUUUUCUUCAUAUACCACGAGUGUGAGCAAGGCAGGUUAACUCCAAGCCCUCCUUAGGGUGGGAGGGAGGGUGGCAGGAUCUUCACACUGGUUCUUUGGAACCUGACACACUUCACCAAGGAUGACAGUAUCACUUUUUCUCCUGUUGACAAUAUUGGUUUUUUCUAGGGCAUCAUUGAGCCUAUUUGUUCCUUUGAUUUCUAGGGUCCCUUCAGCCAUGGGUCCUAAGGCACACAUAGUAUCUCCAUUGGUGGAGAUGGACACCCUGGAUCAGUUUCUCUCGGUGGUUCUAGUAAAUUUUCAUCACAGAGA